rnacentral:rRNA from 1 species
UACGUAGGGUGCGAGCGUUAAUCGGAAUUACUGGGCGUAAAGCGUGCGCAGGCGGUUGUGCAAGACCGAUGUGAAAUCCCCGGGCUUAACCUGGGAAUGGCAUUGGUGACUGCACGGCUAGAGUGUGUCAGAGGGGGGUAGAAUUCCACGUGUAGCAGUGAAAUGCGUAGAGAUGUGGAGGAAUACCGAUGGCGAAGGCAGCCCCCUGGGAUAACACUGACGCCUCAGGCACGAAAGCGUGGGGAGCAAACAGGG